rnacentral:rRNA from 1 species
UACGGGAGGCAGCAGUGAGGAAUAUUGGUCAAUGGACGAGAGUCUGAACCAGCCAAGUAGCGUGCAGGAUGACGGCCCUAUGGGUUGUAAACUGCUUUUAUACAGGGAUAAAGUGCACUACGUGUAGUGUUUUGUAGGUACUGUAUGAAUAAGGACCGGCUAAUUCCGUGCCAGCAGCCGCGGUAAU